CUACGAUGAAGAGUUUGAUCCUGGCUCAGGAUGAACGCUAGCGGCAGGCCUAACACAUGCAAGUCGAACGGUAACAUAGAGAAGCUUGCUUUUCUGAUGACGAGUGGCGCA
rnacentral:rRNA from 1 species